rnacentral:rRNA from 1 species
UACGGAGGGGGCUAGCGUUGUUCGGAAUUACUGGGCGUAAAGCGCACGUAGGCGGCUUUGCAAGUUAGAGGUGAAAGCCCGGGGCUCAACUCCGGAAUUGCCUUUAAAACUGCAUCGCUAGAAUUGUGGAGAGGUGAGUGGAAUUCCGAGUGUAGAGGUGAAAUUCGUAGAUAUUCGGAAGAACACCAGUGGCGAAGGCGACUUACUGGACACAUAUUGACGCUGAGGUGCGAAAGCGUGGGGAGCAAACAGGG